GCUGGACGAUAAGAAUAGAAACUGGCUGCGAACAACCAAGCUGCUCUCAUUCUGACUUCAAGAUUAAAGUUUUGUUAAAGAAACAAGUAUUCAGAGAUCUUGUUAGAGAAUGAAUGGCCCCGUGAAGCAGAACUCAGGCCUCCAGUGUCUGCCUGUCCGGACCUAAAGGUGUUUCCUGAGGGCCAAGGCGGCCCUGCCUCGCAGGUAUCUCCGCAGACCACAGCAAGGCACCGAAGGCGCGACGCUCCCUCCUGGCACGCACCCGGGCCGUGGGCUCCUCCGCUCCCCCUCCAACCCCAGCUCUGCUGUCCAGGCCGGAUGCUGAGUGAGAUAAUGUGAGAAAAAACACACUGGAUGUCAUAUGUGGGGGUCACCUGACAUAGUACUCUGGAAAAAGUUCAGGCCAGAGAAGAAAACUGAGGAAGGACUCGGAUUUGCAUGAUGUGUAGAAGUGGGUUCACGGUGAAACUAGCAAAGCCUGAGAUUCGCAGCUCCACCCUGAAAUACCAGACUCUUCCAAAGCCCCAAGAUGGCCCCUGGCAAUUUUG